rnacentral:rRNA from 1 species
UACGGGGGGGGGCAAGCGUUGUUCGGAAUUACUGGGCGUAAAGGGCGCGUAGGCGGCCUGCUAAGUCGGAUGUGAAAUCCCUCGGCUCAACCGAGGAACUGCAUCCGAUACUGGCGGGCUUGAAUCCGGGAGAGGGAUGUGGAAUUCCAGGUGUAACGGUGAAAUGCGUAGAUAUCUGGAGGAACACCGGUGGCGAAGGCGGCAUCCUGGACCGGUAUUGACGCUGAGGCGCGAAAGCUAGGGGAGCAAACGGG